GGCUGCCUGUUAGUGUUUAACAAUCUUAUCAGUUCAGGAAAAGACAAUAGGGUUAGGGUUCGGCGUCUCUGUUCAUAGCAUGAAGUUAGCCC